CUCCUCCACUUAUAGCUCGAGAUCUGCUGGGCCAAUUUUCAUGGUUUUUGAUUUGUUGGAUUUGUCUCCGCUACGAGUGGGAUAAUAGAUCUUAAAAAUACUGAAAAAAUUUGACGAAUACUUGAAAAACGCGGUUUUUUCCCUAAAGAUUCAAAUUUCCAUUGAUACUCAGCAGGCUUGAUAACAGUGACAGUUUUCGGUCCUGCUCUCAUAUUAUACAAUAGUAUUUGUUUGUCUCAAACAUAAAUUUGUGUAAAUUAUUUAUAUUUAUAUUUCUCGAUUGUUUUAUGUGGUUUUGUGCGAGGGCAUAUUCAGUAUUACUAUUAAUAAAAAUGCCGCCUCCUAGAAGAUCUAAUCUUUCCCGGCGGACCCAUGAUGCAAUUAGGCAACGGAAUAUGGCCAGUCAAUUAUCUAUCGUUUACCACAAGGUGCUUGAAUGAAAAUCCAAUUAAUAAAUUAAUCAGAGUGUAUCCCAACCUGAACAACAUAGCUUUCAACAAUUUUYUACCUAGAAAUAAURKAKAGGGCAAUGCAACGUUUGCCGGGCCAGCUAGU